UACGGAGGGUGCGGGCGUUAUCCGGAAUUAUUAGGUUUAAAGGGUGCGCAGGCGGACUGGUAAGUCGGCGGUGAAAUACCGGGGCCCAACCCCGGGGCUGCCAUCGAUACUGCCGGUCUUGAGUGCGGGCGAGGAAGGCGGAAUGUGGAGUGUAGCGGUGAAAUGCUUAGAUAUUCCACAGAACACCGAUUGCGAAGGCAGCCUUCCAGCGCGCUACUGACGCUCAGGCACGAAAGCGCGGGUAGCGAAC
rnacentral:rRNA from 1 species